rnacentral:rRNA from 1 species
GCUUGAGAAACGGCUACCACAUCCAAGGAAGGCAGCAGGCGCGCAAUUUACCCACUCACGGCAAGGGGAGGUAGUGACGAAAAAAUAAUGAUGCGGGACUCUUUUGAGGCUCUGUAAUCGAAAUGAGAGGACUCUAAAUACUAUAUCGAGGAUCCAUUGGAGGGCAAGUCUGGUGCCAGCAGCCGCGGUAAUUCCAGCUCCAAUAGCGUAUAUUAAAGUUGUUGCGGUUAAAAAGCUCGUAGUUGGAUCUCAGUUCGAGACUGGCGGUCCGCCGUUCGGUGGCUACUGCUUGGACUCAACAUCUUGCCGGUUUUCCCCUGGUGCUCUUUACUGAGUGUCUCGGGUGCCCGGCACGUUUACUUUGAAAAAAUUAGAGUGCUCAAAGCAGGCGUUUAGCCUGAAUAAUGGUGCAUGGAAUAAUGUAAUAGGAUCUCGGUUCUAUUGUGUUGGUUUUCGGAACACGAGGUAAUGAUUAAAAGGGACGGACGGGGGCAUUCGUAUUGCGACGCUAGAGGUGAAAUUCUUGGACCGUCGCAAGACGAACUACUGCGAAAGCAUUUGCCAAGAACGUUUUCAUUAAUCAAGAACGAAAGUUAGAGGUUCGAAGGCGAUCAGAUACCGCCCUAGUUCUAACCAUAAACGAUGCCAACCAGCAAUCCGCCUGAGUUCCUCAAAUGACUCGGCGGGCAGCUUCCGGGAAACCAAAGUGUUUGGGUUCCGGGGGAAGUAUGGUUGCAAAGCUGAAACUUAAAGGAAUUGACGGAAGGGCACCACCAGGAGUGGAGCCUGCGGCUUAAUUUGACUCAACACGGGAAAACUUACCCGGCCCGGACACGGAAGGAUUGACAGAUUAAGAGCUCUUUCUUGAUUCGGUGGGUGGUGGUGCAUGGCCGUUCUUAGUUGGUGGAGCGAUUUGUCUGGUUAAUUCCGAUAACGAACGAGACUCUAGCCUACUUAAUAGAGAACCGAUUUCCUCUCGUCGGUUACUCUUCUUAGAGGGACAAGCGGCGUUUAGCCGCACGAGACAGAGCAAUAACAGGUCUGUGAUGCCCUUAGAUGUCCGGGGCCGCACGCGCGCUACACUGAAGGAAUCAGCGUGUGUUCACCCUGGCCGAAAGGCCUGGGUAACCCGUUGAACCUCCUUCGUGAUAGGGAUAGGGGCUUGUAACUAUUCCCCUUGAACGAGGAAUUCCCAGUAAGCGCGAGUCAUAAGCUCGCGUUGAUUACGUCCCUGCCCUUUGUACACACCGCCCGUCGCUACUACCGAUUGAAUGAUUUAGUGAGGUCUUCGGACUGGUGCUCGGAGCGGCUCUCGGGUCGCGCCGGCGUACCGGAAAGAUGACCAAACUUGAUCAUUUAGAGGAAGUAAAAGUCGUAACAAGGUUU